CAGAGGGUAGUUUAAUUAAAAAUAUUAAUUUUGGAGAUUAAAGAUAUUGAUUUUCCUCUGA
rnacentral:tRNA from 1 species